rnacentral:sRNA from 1 species
UGAAGUCGAUUUCACGCGCCGCCAGCCAGU